UUGCCUCAGUAACGGCGAGUGAAGCGGCAAUAGCUCAAAUUUGAAAUCUGGCUCUUUCAGAGUCCGAGUUGUAAUUUGUAGAGGAUGUUUCGGCUUACGCCCCGGUCUAAGUUCCUUGGAACAGGACGUCACAGAGGGUGAGAAUCCCGUAUGUGGCCGGCGGCUUCCGCCAUGUGAAACUCCUUCGACGAGUCGAGUUGUUUGGGAAUGCAGCUCUAAAUGGGAGGUAAAUUUCUUCUAAAGCUAAAUACUGGCCAGAGACCGAUAGCGCACAAGUAGAGUGAUCGAAAGAUGAAAAGCACUUUGGAAAGAGAGUUAAAAAGUACGUGAAAUUGUUGAAAGGGAAGCGCUUGCGACCAGACUUGCCCGCGGAUGCUCAACCGGUCCUUCGGCCGGUGCACUCUUCCGCGGUCAGGCCAGCAUCAGUUCGGGCGGUUGGAUAAAGGCUUUGGGAAUGUGGCUCUCUUCGGGGAGUGUUAUAGCCCAUUGUGCAAUACAACCUGCCUGGACUGAGGCCCGCGCUUCGGCUAGGAUGCUGGCGUAAUGGUCGUAAGCGGCCCGUCUUGAAACACGGACCAAGGAGUCUAACAUCUAUGCGAGUGUUUGGGUGUCAAACCCGUGCGCGUAAUGAAAGUGAACGGAGGUGGGAACCUUUUGGGUGCACCAUCGACCGAUCCUGAUGUCUUCGGAUGGAUUUGAGUAAGAGCAUAGCUGUUGGGACCCGAAAGAUGGUGAACUAUGCCUGAAUAGGGUGAAGCCAGAGGAAACUCUGGUGGAGGCUCGCAGCGGUUCUGACGUGCAAAUCGAUCGUCAAAUUUGGGUAUAGGGGCGAAAGACUAA
rnacentral:rRNA from 1 species